CCUCACCUAGAGGAGGAGGAGGAAGAGGAAGAGGAUGAGAGUGUGUCUAUCAGGGGGUUUCUAAAUCCUCAUGUAAAAAAUGAAAGCGAUAUGUUUUUUGUCUGGGAUGCAGGAGUAUGAGAGGUACACCUCAGCUUAAACUCUAUGCAGGAGUCACUUAGCAGUUACCACGGCAACCUUUAAUUGCUGCUACACAGACACAGGUGAUUGAGAUUUAGCUAAUUAGUAUAAUUACACACACUAACUCUAACUAACUAGAACAAAAAUGGAGUAUAUUCUGCAUUCAAACAAAGCAGCAGGGUCAGUGUAAGCUUGGAGUGACAAAAACAACAACUACAUCACACCCCCGUUCAUUCCCCACCUCCCUCUCACCUGCGGAGGACUCCACCCAGCAGAGAGGCGUUGAGGCACUCCGGCGGGGAGAGGCGUCGCUGCACCUCCCCGACCGUCACCUUGUACUUGGAGGUGGAGCUGAGCAGCGAGAGGCGACCCGGGACCGAACAGAAGACCUCGGCCGGGUUGGACACGGAUCCCAUACCCAGACCAUCCUUACCGAAGGACAGGACCGACAGGGACGACCCGUUCAGCUUGGACGGGAUGGGAACUAUAGGUGGAGAGAUGAAGGAGGUCAAAAAGAUACAUGCUUUCAGCCUUAUGCCUUAUUUGUGUCAGACAAAAAAGUUCAACAGCAACAAAAACUGGAUGCUUAGGGGGGUAAAAAGACAUUGAGGAUGAAUAAAGAUCAUCAAUCUAAAA